UAUAUGUUGGUGUAAAGCACAAAAAGUUUUGAUCUUUUAGGGUGAGGAGAGAGGCCUCUAUAUAUAA
rnacentral:tRNA from 1 species